rfam:Stegodyphus mimosarum contig84087, whole genome shotgun sequence.
GGCUUCGUGGUGUAGUGGUCAGCACGCUCGAAUCGUAACCGUGAGGUCCAUGGUUCGAUUCCUGGCGAAGACG